rfam:Loxodonta africana unplaced genomic scaffold scaffold_26, whole genome shotgun sequence.
UGGUGUAGUGGUUAAGAGCUUUGGCUGCUAACCAAAAGGUUGGUGGUUUGAAUCCACC